AUGACGUUCUGGCGGAGGGGCCAUCGGGUGUGCUGGCGCGGCAUUGCAGGACCGAACGGACCAUCCCUGAAAUCAUGCAGCGGGCGCGACUUCCUUGACGCCAUCGUCACCGAGUUCGACGGCAUCUUCGCCGAACCCUCCGGCGUGCCACCACCCCGCAGUCGUGACCAUGGCAUCACCCUACUGCCCGGUUCCGCCCCGGUGGCCGUCCGUCCGUAUCACUACCCGGCCGCGCACAAGGACGAGCUGGAGCGUCAGUGCGCCGCCAUGCUCGCCCAGGGCAUCAUCCGAGCGAGUUGUUCCGCAUUCUCAUCGCCGGUACUGCUGGUCCGCAAGCCCGACGGGUCCUGGCGCUUCUGCAUCGACUACCGCGCCCUGAACGCCAUCACCGUCAAGGAUGCGUUUCCGAUCCCGGUGGUGGACGAACUCCUCGACGAGCUCCGGCGCGCUCGUUUCUUCACCAAGCUCGAUUUGCGCUCCGGCUACCACCAGGUGCGGAUGCGUGCGGAGGACAUCCCAAAGACCACCUUCCGUACCCACGACGGCCUCUACGAGUUCCUAGUGAUGCCGUUCGGCCUCUGCAACACGCCGGCGACGUUCCAGGCACUCAUGAACGAUCUGCUGCGGCCGUACCUGUGCCGCUUCAUUCUUGUCUUCUUUGACGACAUCCUCAUUUUUAGCGAGACGUGGGCAGACCAUCUCCUACAUGUGCGCACCGUCUUCACCGUCCUGCACCAGCACCGGCUCUUCGGCAAGCGAUCCAAAUGCGCGUUCGCCGUCGAGUCGAUCUCCUACCUGGGUCACACCAUCUCCGCUGCAGGAGUGGCCAUGGAUCCGGAAAAGGUGCAGGCCGUGGCCGAAUGGCCGCAGCCACGCUCGGCGCGCGCGAUCCGGGGGUUCCUCGGCCUUGCGGGGUACUACCGCAAGUUUGUCAAGGAGUUUGGAGUGGUUGCCGCGCCACUGACGGCCCUCCUUCGCACGGAUGGGUUCUCCUGGUCGCCGGAGGCGGCAGCAGCUUUUACUGCCCUCAAGACGGCGGUCACCACGACUCCUCUCCUCGCGUUGCCGGACUUCACGCGGCCGUUCAUCAUCGAGUGUGACACCUCUACGUACGGCUUCGGGGCCGUCCUUCUUCAGGACCAGCACCCGGUGGCUUUCUUUAGCCGGCCGGCCGCGCCACGUCAUCGUUCGCUGGCAGCAUAUGAACGGGAACUCAUCGGCCUGGUGCUCGCUAUUCGUCAUUGGAGACCAUACCUCUGGGGGCGCCAAUUUGUGGUAAAAACGGAUCACUACAGUCUCAAAUUCUUACUUGACCAGCGUUUGGCAACCAUUCCGCAGCAUCAUUGGGUCGGCAAACUACUGGGGUUCGACUUCACCGUGGAGUACAAGGCCGGUAGUACAAACACGGUGGCGGACGCACUUUCCCGCCGCGACACGGAGGAGACGUCGGUCAUGGCGAUAUCGGGUCCUCGCUUCGACUUCAUCGAUCGCCUCCGGCAAGCUACGUCAACCGAACCGGCGCUCGUCGCGCUGCGUGAGGAUAUCAUGGCGGGUACGCGGCAGCAGCCGUGGUCGCUCUCCGACGGCCUCGUCACUUUCAACGGCCGCCUCUACAUUCCGUCGUCGUCCCCGCUACUCCAGGAGCUCCUCACCGCAGUGCACGACGACGGGCACGAAGGCAUCCUGCGCACCCUGCAUCGUCUCCGCCGCGACUUCCACACACCUAACCUUCGCAAGAUGGUGCAAGAGUACGUCCGCGCCUGCGAUACUUGCUAG
rnacentral:rRNA from 1 species